rnacentral:tRNA from 1 species
GCCGAUGUAGCUCAGUGGUAGAGCAACGCUUUCGUAAAGCGUAGGUCGUGAGUUCGAAUCUCACCAUCGGCUCCA